UUGAACGCUGGCGGAAUGCUUUACACAUGCAAGUCGAGCGGCAGCGCGGGGCAACCUGGCGGCGAGCGGCGAACGGGUGAGUAAUAUAUCGGAACGUACCCUGUCGUGGGGGAUAACACAUCGAAAGAUGUGCUAAUACCGCAUACGACCUGAGGGUGAAAGCGGGGGAUCGCAAGACCUCGCGCGAUAGGAGCGGCCGAUAUCGGAUUAGCUAGUUGGUGAGGUAAAGGCUCACCAAGGCGACGAUCCGUAGCUGGUCUGAGAGGACGACCAGCCACACUGGAACUGAGACACGGUCCAGACUCCUACGGGAGGCAGCAGUGGGGAAUUUUGGACAAUGGGGGAAACCCUGAUCCAGCCAUUCCGCGUGAGUGAGGAAGGCCUUCGGGUUGUAAAGCUCUUUUGUCCGGAGCGAAACGGUUACGGUGAAUAUCCGUGACUACUGACGGUACCGGAAGAAUAAGCACCGGCUAACUACGU
rnacentral:rRNA from 1 species